GUGGGGAAUCUUGCGCAAUGGGCGAAAGCCUGACGCAGCCAUGCCGCGUGAAUGAUGAAGGUCUUAGGAUUGUAAAAUUCUUUCACCGGGGACUAUAAUGACGGUACCCGGAGAAGAAGCUCCGGCUAACUUCGUGCCAGCUGCCGCGGUAAUACGAAGGUGGCUAGCGUUGCUCGGAAUUACUGGGCGUAAAGGGCGCGUAGGCGGACAGCUUAGUCAGAGGUGAAAGCCCAGGGCUCAACCUUGGAAUUGCCUUUGAUACUGGCUGUCUUGAGUUUGGGAGAGGUGAGUGGAACUCCGAGUGUAGAGGUGAAAUUCGUAGAUAUUCGGAAGAACACCAGUGGCGAAGGCGACUCACUGGCCCAAUACUGACGCUGAGGCGCGAAAGCGUGGGGAGCAAACAGGAUUAGAUACCCCUGUAGUCC
rnacentral:rRNA from 1 species